rnacentral:rRNA from 1 species
AUUGAACGCUGGCGGCAUGCUUUACACAUGCAAGUCGAACGGUAACAGGGAGCUUGCUCCGCUGACGAGUGGCGAACGGGUGAGUAAUGCGUCGGAACGCGCCGCGUAGUGGGGGAUAACGCAUAGAAAGGUGUGCUAAUACCGCAUACCAACUGAGGUUGAAAGUGGGGGACCUUCGGGCCUCACGCUAUUCGCGCGGCCGACGUCAGAUUAGCUAGUUGGUGAGGUAAAGGCUCACCAAGGCGACGAUCAGUAGCGGGUCUGAGAGGAUGAUCCGCCACACUGGGACUGAGACACGGCCCAGACUCCUACGGGAGGCAGCAGUGGGGAAUUUUGGACAAUGGGCGCAAGCCUGAUCCAGCCAUGCCGCGUGUCUGAAGAAGGCCUUCGGGUUGUAAAGGACUUUUGUCCGGGAGCAAAUGCUGGUGGCUAACAUCCACCGGAGCUGAGAGUACCGGAAGAAUAAGCACCGGCUAACUACGUGCCAGCAGCCGCAGUAACAC